UUAAAUUGAAGAGUUUGAUCAUGGCUCAGAUUGAACGCUGGCGGCAGGCCUAACACAUGCAAGUCGAACGGUAACAGGAAGCAGCUUGCUGCUUUGCUGACGAGUGGCGGACGGGUGAGUAAUGUCUGGGAAACUGCCUGAUGGAGGGGGAUAACUACUGGAAACGGUGGCUAAUACCGCAUAACGUCGCAAGACCAAAGAGGGGGACCUUCGGGCCUCUUGCCAUCAGAUGUGCCCAGAUGGGAUUAGCUUGUUGGUGAGGUAACGGCUCACCAAGGCGACGAUCCCUAGCUGGUCUGAGAGGAUGACCAGCCACACUGGAACUGAGACACGGUCCAGACUCCUACGGGAGGCAGCAGUGGGGAAUAUUGCACAAUGGGCGCAAGCCUGAUGCAGCCAUGCCGCGUGUAUGAAGAAGGCCUUCGGGUUGUAAAGUACUUUCAGCGGGGAGGAAGGUGUUGUGGUUAAUAACCACAGCAAUUGACGUUACCCGCAGAAGAAGCACCGGCUAACUCCGUGCCAGCAGCCGCGGUAAUACGGAGGGUGCAAGCGUUAAUCGGAAUUACUGGGCGUAAAGCGCACGCAGGCGGUCUGUCAAGUCGGAUGUGAAAUCCCCGGGCUCAACCUGGGAACUGCAUUCGAAACUGGCAGGCUUGAGUCUUGUAGAGGGGGGUAGAAUUCCAGGUGUAGCGGUGAAAUGCGUAGAGAUCUGGAGGAAUACCGGUGGCGAAGGCGGCCCCCUGGACAAAGACUGACGCUCAGGUGCGAAAGCGUGGGGAGCAAACAGGAUUAGAUACCCUGGUAGUCCACGCCGUAAACGAUGUCUACUUGGAGGUUGUGCCCUUGAGGCGUGGCUUCCGGAGCUAACGCGUUAAGUAGACCGCCUGGGGAGUACGGCCGCAAGGUUAAAACUCAAAUGAAUUGACGGGGGCCCGCACAAGCGGUGGAGCAUGUGGUUUAAUUCGAUGCAACGCGAAGAACCUUACCUGGUCUUGACAUCCACAGAACUUUCCAGAGAUGGAUUGGUGCCUUCGGGAACUGUGAGACAGGUGCUGCAUGGCUGUCGUCAGCUCGUGUUGUGAAAUGUUGGGUUAAGUCCCGCAACGAGCGCAACCCUUAUCCUUUGUUGCCAGCGGUCCGGCCGGGAACUCAAAGGAGACUGCCAGUGAUAAACUGGAGGAAGGUGGGGAUGACGUCAAGUCAUCAUGGCCCUUACGACCAGGGCUACACACGUGCUACAAUGGCGCAUACAAAGAGAAGCGACCUCGCGAGAGCAAGCGGACCUCAUAAAGUGCGUCGUAGUCCGGAUUGGAGUCUGCAACUCGACUCCAUGAAGUCGGAAUCGCUAGUAAUCGUGGAUCAGAAUGCCACGGUGAAUACGUUCCCGGGCCUUGUACACACCGCCCGUCACACCAUGGGAGUGGGUUGCAAAAGAAGUAGGUAGCUUAACCUUCGGGAGGGCGCUUACCACUUUGUGAUUCAUGACUGGGGUGAAGUCGUAACAAGGUAACCGUAGGGGAACCUGCGGUUGGAUCACCUCCUUACCUUAAAGAA
rnacentral:rRNA from 3 species